UACAGAGGGUGCAAGCGUUGUUCGGAAUUAUUGGGCGUAAAGAGCGUGUAGGCGGCCGCACAGGUCCGUUGUGAAAACUGGAGGCUUAACCUUCAGACGUCGAUGGAAACCGUGCGGCUAGAGUCCGGAAGAGGAGAAUGGAAUUCCUGGUGUAGCGGUGAAAUGCGCAGAUAUCAGGAAGAACACCCGUGGCUAAGGCGGUUCUCUAGUACGGUACUGACGCUGAGACGCGAAAGCGUGGGGAGCGAACAGG
rnacentral:rRNA from 1 species